UACGGAGGGUGCAAGCGUUAAUCGGAAUUACUGGGCGUAAAGCGUGCGCAGGCGGUUUGUUAAGUCUGUUGUGAAAUCCCCGAGCUCAACUUGGGAAUUGCAAUGGAUACUGGCAGGCUGGAGUAUGGUAGAGGAAGGUGGAAUUCCCGGUGUAGCAGUGAAAUGCGUAGAUAUGUGGAGGAAUACCGAUGGCGAAGGCAGCCCCUGGGUCAAGACUGACGCUCAUGCACGAAAGCGUGGGGAGCAAACAGG
rnacentral:rRNA from 1 species